GGAAGACUGCUGACCUGACAGUUGUGUAGAAAACCAUCAUUGACAAAGCCUCAAAAGCCUUGAGUCCAGCAUUUGGGUCCUCCCACCUACUACCUGCUUCACCACACGAACCGUGACAUCGCUCUACAGUCUCCAUCAUCCAAACCUUCUGCAGGGAAAACAGGAUUGGAAACUUCUCAGUGAACAACAAGAAUAGGAGAUCUGUAAUGCAAUCACAUUGAGACAGAUUCGCACUGCAAUCCUACAAGACAAUGCCAUAUUCCAAAAUGUCAACUCUAUAAGCAUCUCCACAAUAGACCGGAUAUUGAAGAAUCAGAUGACAAUGAAGCAAACUUACAGGGUACUAUUUAAGAGGAACUCUGAGAGUGAAAGAGCUGUGGUACCAGUAUGUACAUAGGAGAAUGGCAUUGUAAGGAAAUGAGACCAUCACAUCCUCGUGUUUGUGGAUGAAGCUGGCUUCAACCUGGCCAAGGGCCGAAGACGUGGCCGUAAUAUUAUUGGCCACAGUGGAUGUCCCAGGCCAGCGAGGGGGCAAUAUAACUGUGUGCUGCCAUAUCUGAGAAUGGUGUGGCCACUCACAUCCCCAGUCUUGGCCCAUACAAUACAUAGAAGCUCCUCAUCAUCUUGGACCGCCUUCAUUUGGAUUUGAUCCCUGAAAAUGAGAGAAGUCUCUCGUAGGGCCUCACCUACCACAAUAUGUCAUUGUAUGGGACAAUGUGAAUUUCCAUCGUGGCCCGCGCAUCAGGUUCACUACUCAUCCAAGGAUGGUCAUGGUGUUCCUACCACCUUACACUCCUUUCCUCAAUCCUAUUGAGGAGUAUUUCUCUGCUUGGAGGUAGUGUAUGAGAAUUGGGCUCAAGAUCAGAGGUCCCUGCUCCAUGCAAUGGACGCUGCGUGUGAGGAUAUUGCAGGAGAUCAGUGUAGGGGAUGGUUACGACAUGCACGCCGUUUCUUCCCUCGUUGCAUCGCAAGGGAGAAUAUACGCUAUGAUGUGGACGAGAAUCUGUGGCCAAACAGCAGCGUGUGGAUGGCCAGGAGGGUGAGAACUGUGACCAUUGAAGAACUGUUAGUUGUGAAACUCCAGCUUUAUUUACAGCACUGUAGGCUGCAUAUAAUUCAUUGUUUUUGAGUGUUUAUAUUACAGUAUAUUAUGCUGUAUACACUUUCUUUUUACUCUGAUGUAUGGAAGUUACUUUGUGUGUGAAUAAAGUACCCUAAAGUCCUA